UACGUAGGGUGCAAGCGUUAAUCGGAAUUACUGGGCGUAAAGCGUGCGCAGGCGGUGAUGUAAGACAGGUGUGAAAUCCCCGGGCUUAACCCUGGGAACUGCAUUUGUGACUGCAUCGCUGGAGUGCGGCAGAGGGGGAUGGAAUUCCGGCGUGUAGCAGUGAAAUGCGUAGAUAUGCGGAGGAACACCGAUGGCGAAGGCAAUCCCCUGGGCCUGCACUGGACGCUCCAGUGCACGAAAGCGU
rnacentral:rRNA from 1 species